AAAACGUCAGAAUGUUGCCUUCCUAAAGCCAUGGCUGUACCCCACAGGGACUCUAGGCAAGAUGGCUGGUCCCAGCUACUUCACUCCUAGAUGAAAUCGAAGUCACCUGGUUUCCUUGGGGCGGCAUGGCGUGGAGAAUGAAGACAUGCUCCCAGAGCUGGGAAGAGAAGAAUGAUUGGAAACAAAACAAGAUCCACACAGAGUUGAAAUGCUUCAAGCGGCCCAUCAAUGAUGCUGCUGGCUGACAGGAAAGCCCUUCCUGGAUCCAUCUCCAAGGGUCAAGUGGUUACCAUGGCACCCAGCUUUGUGGGAGGGGCACAAAGACCAAAUGGAGAGUUCACCUCACACCUUCCUUCUUCAUCCCUGUGUUGUGCGCUACUGAGACCCACAAAGCUUCUCAAAUCCGCACAGUAGGUAUCAUCAGAAUGCUGGCAGAAAGCAUUUGAUUAUGGCUUUGAGACUCAGUCAGAAAGUAAGACCUGGAUAAUGUUCAUAAAGCCAUGUUGCAGAGGAUUUCUCUCUGAGGUCCUUCCAACUUCUUGCUGUGCUUUCAGCUGUUCACAGCCAGGGUGGCAGGAGAGAGGAUGCGGUUAAAAGAAAUGAUUGAAGUAACUGAACUUCCCGUACCUCCCCCUGAAGGGACGUUCCUGUCUGAUUGACAGAAGCAGGCCAGUCGUUGCUUAGAUCUGCUGGGAAGGAAAUGAAACUAUGAAAAACACUGGGGCUAAUGUUCCAGAGUGCUUGCUGACAGCCAAAGCCCCUCGACUCACAGAAACUACCACAUAGAGAAAGCUGUAAGUGGGAGAUCCUGGACUGUCAAGUGCUGGAUGGAGCCUGUCAUCCAUGUUAAGGAGACAGGACGCGGAGCCCCUGGUGAGGGAACCAUGGCUCCAUGAGCCAGACUUCACAACUGCAGACAGCGGCCCAGGCCAGAGCUCACUGUAAGGCACAGACAGGAGAAUGUCAGCCUCAUUUGCCAUCCAUCAGCAGCCGAUGGUGAACUUGGAGGUCAAAUUAGAGGCACUGCUCUCUGAGAAACCCACAGUUGAAGCAGUAGGUAAAAGCUAAUAUAAGCACACGUGGAAAUAAAACACAAGUGAGA